GACGAACGCUGGCGGCGUGCUUAAUACAUGCAAGUCGAACGGAAAGGCCCUGCGUUUGUGUGGUGCUCGAUUGCCGAACGGGUGAGUAACACGUGAGUAACCUGCACUUGACUUUGGGAUAACUUCAGGAAACAGGGGCUAAUACCGGAUAGGAUCUCUUGCUGCGUGGUGGGGGUUGGUAAGUGACGGCGGUUGGGGAUGGACUCGAUGGUUAUCAGCUUGUUAGUGUGGUAGUGAUUUACGAAGGCUUUGACGGGUAGGCGGCCUGGGAGGGUGAACGGCCACAUUGGGACUGAGAUACGCAGCAGACUCCUACGGGAGGCAGCAGUGGGGAAUAUUGCGCAAUGGGCGGAAGCCUGAUGCAGCAGCGCCGCGUGCGGGAUGACGGCCUUCGGGGUGUAAACCGAUUUCGCCGGUGAUGAGGCGUGAGUGACGGUAAUGGGUAAAGAAGCACCGGCUAACUACGUG
rnacentral:rRNA from 1 species